AGUGGCGGACGGGUGAGUAACGCGUGAGUAACCUGCCCUUAGGAAAGGGAUAGCGUCUGGAAACGGACGGUAAUACCAUAUAAAGUAUAUUAACGGCAUCGUAGAUAUACCAAAGCUGAGGCGCCUAAGGAUGGACUCGCGUCUGAUUAGAUAGUUGGUGGGGUAACGGCCUACCAAGUCGACGAUCAGUAGCCGGACUGAGAGGUUGAACGGCCACAUUGGGACUGAGACACGGCCCAGACUCCUACGGAAGGCAGCAG
rnacentral:rRNA from 1 species